rnacentral:rRNA from 1 species
UACGUAGGGACCGAGCGUUGUCCGGAUUCAUUGGGCGUAAAGAGCUCGUAGGCGGCCACUCAAGUCGAAUGUGAAACCUCGAGGCUUAACCUUGAGCCUGCAUUCGAUACUGGGCGGCUAGAGUCUGGUAGGGGGAUCUGGAAUUCCUGGUGUAGCGGUGGAAUGCGCAGAUAUCAGGAGGAACACCGGUGGCGAAGGCGGGAUCCUGGGCCAGUACUGACGCUGAGGAGCGAAAGCCAGGGGAGCAAAGCGGG